ACGGCGGGUGCUAACGUCCGUCGUGAAGAGGGAAACAACCCAGACCGCCAGCUAAGGUCCCAAAGUCAUGGUUAAGUGGGAAACGAUGUGGGAAGGCCCAGACAGCCAGGAUGUUGGCUUAGAAGCAGCCAUCAUUUAAAGAAAGCGUAAUAGCUCACUGGUCGAGUCGGCCUGCGCGGAAGAUGUAACGGGGCUAAACCAUGCACCGAAGCUGCGGCAGCGACGCUUAUGCGUUGUUGGGUAGGGGAGCGUUCUGUAAGCCUGUGAAGGUGUGCUGUGAGGUAUGCUGGAGGUAUCAGAAGUGCGAAUGCUGACAUAAGUAACGAUAAAGCGGGUGAAAAGCCCGCUCGCCG
rnacentral:rRNA from 1 species